AUCAGCCUUCUGUCCAAGCAAAAGUGCCAGAACGUCUUGUGCCACCUCGCUCUGUUGCCGGUCUGGACUCCCACCGAUCAGCCCGUGGUCCUCUGCAUCGGACUGGACUCAUCCUGGACCUCUGGAUCUGGACUGCCUGCCUGUUGCCCGACCCCGAUCUGUUUGUGAGUAACCGCAUCUGUCUAACCCCUGUGUGCCUCUGAACUCAGCCGGACUAAGGACCUGGACUGGACCCCGACCCGCUCUGGACUAUCCCUCGGACCUUCUCAGGAUUUCGGAUUCCACCGGAACUGGACUGCCUGCCUGUUGCCCGACCCCGAUCUGUUUGUGAGUAACCGCAUCUGACUAACCCCUGUGAACCUCUGAACUCAGCCGGAUUAAGGACCUGGACUGGACCCCGACCCGCUCUGGAUCCGUCUCUGGACCCUCUCUGGACUUCUAACCCCUCGGCUCCUUCCCCGGACCCCCGUUUCUCUGCCCCGCUUCCUCGUUACUAGCCGGCGCUCGGAUUACCCGACUCUCCAGGUUAGUGCCUACUCCUCUGUCCAUCAAACGCCAGCAUUUCCUGGUCAUUAACCAGCUGCUCUGCCUCCAGGGUUCCUGCAGACGUGAGCCGCUCGGGUUGCCGUGCGACCGCCAUUAAAUAAACACUUGAAAGCGUCA